GGUAACAGGUAGCAAUACGCUGACGAGUGGCGCACGGGUGCGUAACGCGUACACAAUCUGCCUUAUACUGGGGCAUAGCCUUUGGAAACGAAGAAUAAUUCCCCAUAGUUUAUAGAAAAGGCAUCUUUUUUAUAUUAAAGCUCAGGCGGUAUAAGAUGAGUGUGCGUCCGAUUAGGUAGUUGGUAGGGUAACGGCCUACCAAGCCAACGAUCGGUAGCUGGUCUGAGAGGAUGAUCAGCCACACGGGCACUGAGACACGGGCCCGACUCCUACGGGAGGCAGCAGUAGGGAAUAUUGGACAAUGGAGGCAACUCUGAUCCAGCCAUCCCGCGUGAAGGAUUAAGGUCCUAUGGAUUGUAAACUUCUUUUCUCUGGGAAUAAAAAUCACGCUUCUGCGUGACCUGAAGGUACCAGAGGAAUAAGCACCGGCUAACUCCGUGCCAGCAGCCGCGGUAAUACGGAGGGUGCAAGCGUUAUCCGGAUUCACUGGGUUUAAAGGGUGCGUAGGUGGCUUUGUAAGUCAGUGGUGAAAGCCCGGGGCUCAACUCCGGAACUGCCAUUGAUACUGCUUAGCUUGAAUCAGGUCGAGGUGGAUGGAAUGUGACAUGUAGCGGUGAAAUGCUUAGAUAUGUUACAGAACACCGAUUGCGAAGGCAGUUCACUAGACCUGUAUUGACACUGAGGCACGAAAGCGUGGGGAUCAAACAGGAUUAGAUACCCUGGUAGUCCACGCCCUAAACGAUGUAAACUCGACAUUAGCAAUAUACAGUUAGUGUCUUAGCGAAAGCGUUAAGUUUACCA
rnacentral:rRNA from 1 species